rnacentral:rRNA from 1 species
AGAGUUUGAUCAUGGCUCAGAGCGAACGCUGGCGGCAGGCUUAACACAUGCAAGUCGAACGGACGUGAGCAAUCACGUCAGUGGCAGACGGGUGAGUAACGCGUGGGAACAUACCCUCCGGUUCGGAAUAGCUCAGGGAAACUUGGAUUAAUACCGGAUACGGCCGAGAGGCGAAAGAUUUAUCGCCGGAGGAUUGGCCCGCGUUCGAUUAGCUUGUUGGUGUGGUAACGGCUCACCAAGGCGAUGAUCGAUAGCUGGUCUGAGAGGAUGAUCAGCCACAUUGGGACUGAGACACGGCCCAAACUCCUACGGGAGGCAGCAGUGGGGAAUAUUGGACAAUGGGCGCAAGCCUGAUCCAGCCAUGCCGCGUGAGUGAUGAAGGCCUUAGGGUUGUAAAGCUCUUUCGCUCGGGACGAUAAUGACGGUACCGAGAUAAGAAGCCCCGGCUAACUUCGUGCCAGCAGCCGCGGUAAUACGAAGGGGGCUAGCGUUGUUCGGAAUUACUGGGCGUAAAGCGCGUGUAGGCGGGUCUUUAAGUCAGGGGUGAAAUGCCAAGGCUCAACCUUGGAACUGCCUUUGAUACUGGAGACCUUGAGUCCGGGAGAGGUGAGUGGAAUUGCGAGUGUAGAAGUGAAAUUCGUAGAUAUUCGCAAGAACACCAGUGGCGAAGGCGGCUCACUGGCCCGGAACUGACGCUGAGACGCGAAAGCGUGGGGAGCAAACAGGAUUAGAUACCCUGGUAGUCCACGCUGUAAACGAUGGAUGCUAGCCGUUGGGGAGCUUGCUCUUCAGUGGCGCAGCUAACGCUUUAAGCAUCCC